rnacentral:rRNA from 1 species
UACACAGCUGGCGGCGUGCCUAAACAUGCAAGUCGAACGCGAAAGUGGAGCAAUCCAUGAGUAGAGUGGCAAACGGGUGAGUAACGCGUGGGUGACCUGCCUUCGAGUGGGGGAUAACGCUCCGAAAGGGACGCUAAUACCGCAUAACAUCCUGCCUUUUAAGAGGUGGAGAUCAAAGCCUGGGACCGCAAGGCCAGGCGCUCAAAGAGGGGCCCGCGUCUGAUUAGCUAGUUGGUGGGGUAAUGGCUCACCAAGGCUUCGAUCAGUAUCCGGCCUGAGAGGGCGGACGGACACACUGGGACUGAGACACGGCCCAGACUCCUACGGGAGGCAGCAGUGGGGAAUUGUUCGCAAUGGGCGCAAGCCUGACGACGCAACGCCGCGUGGAGGAUGAAGAUCUUCGGGUCGUAAACUCCUUUCGAUCGAGACGAAUGGCCUCUGGGUGAACAAUCCAGAGGAGUGACGGUACCGAGAGAAGAAGCCCCGGCUAACUCCGUGCCAGCAGCCGCGGUAAUACGGGGGGGGCAAGCGUUGUUCGGAAUUACUGGGCGUAAAGGGCUCGUAGGUGGCCAACUAAGUCAGACGUGAAAUCCCUCGGCUUAACCGGGGAGCUGCGUCUGAUACUGGAUGGCUUGAGUUUGGGAGAGGGACGCGGAAUUCCAGGUGUAGCGGUGAA